rnacentral:sRNA from 1 species
UUCCUCUUUUCUCCCUGAAAACCGAUCUGUAUCCUUCGUCCGUCUACCCAUUUCUUCUUCUGCUCUUUCACCUAAGAUCUCCCUCUCUUCACUCACCCAACCGGCGGCACCUAACCCAAGCACUCUAACCUCCAAUCGGCGACACCUCCCCAAGAACUUCCUUUUCUUCUUCCUCUUUUGCCCAACUGGCACUACCCAAGCUUCUCUACCCUCCAACUGGUCCAAAUCCCUCCAAAGAAAUUAGAUAUAAAACUCAAAAACCAUAGGAUGAAAAGGAACCCUUUCCCUUCCGAUUUCCUAUUUUUCUGAAAUUUUAUGUAUAUAUAUAUUUUUUUGUUGUGGGUAUUGGUUGCUAGUUUAGGCUUUUUUGGUGGUUGAUUUGUGGUUUUUUUUUUGUUGUUUGAAUCUGGUUUUUUUUUUGAAAGAUUGGUUUCUUUUUUUUAUCAUUUUCUUUUAUUUAAUAGUUAUCACAUUUUAGACUCAAUUUUUUGAGUUGCUGUCUUCGAUUUUAGGCCAAUGAAGCUGGCAUUGUGAAGGUUGCUUGGAUCCCUCCUAAGUAUGGGGAUGUUGUUGCAUUUGUGAAGAUGGAAGUUUAUUCAUAUGGGAAGAGCUUGUAGAAGGUAAACAACCUUUAAAGGGUGAGGGCCAAGAAUCAAGCUUUAUUUUGGGUUUCACUUCUAAUACUCCACAGCUCAAUUCCCUCAAGAGUUCCAUAGGUGUGGGAAUUUGAUCCAGCUCAUCAAAAAUGGCUGCCAGUAGCAGAUAUGGCUGCCAGUAGCAGAGUUGGCUUUGCCUGGUGACAAGGGAGAUCAAGUUUAUUCUGUUGCAUGGGCACCAAACAUUGGACGGUAAUGGAACCAUUGUGCUUAUCAACUUGCGAAACCAGGAAUGAGAUGCAACACUUUAUUGAUUGCUUGGCUUUGAUUCUGGUUAUGAAAAUAGAAAGAACUUGCUGUUAUGAUUGUUGUUUGUUGCCUCUUUGUUUUGAUUUUGGCCAUGAUUCUAUUAUGAUGAGGCGUUAUUUGGGUUGUUUCUUUCAAUGUAAUUAAACUGGUUGCAUGAGCCUUUCUUGCUAGCUUGUUAUCCACUACUUUGUAAUUUACAUUCUAAUAAUGAAAAUGCAUGAAUGACUAAAUUUUGAAUUUCGGAUUUUAA